GAUGAACGCUGGCGGCGUGCCUAAUACAUGCAAGUCGAGCGAACAGAUAAGGAGCUUGCUCCUUUGACGUUAGCGGCGGACGGGUGAGUAACACGUGGGUAACCUACCUAUAAGACUGGGAUAACUUCGGGAAACCGGAGCUAAUACCGGAUAACAUUUGGAACCGCAUGGUUCUAAAGUGAAAGAUGGUUUUGCUAUCACUUAUAGAUGGACCCGCGCCGUAUUAGCUAGUUGGUAAGGUAACGGCUUACCAAGGCAACGAUACGUAGCCGACCUGAGAGGGUGAUCGGCCACACUGGAACUGAGACACGGUCCAGACUCCUACGGGAGGCAGCAGUAGGGAAUCUUCCGCAAUGGGCGAAAGCCUGACGGAGCAACGCCGCGUGAGUGAUGAAGGGUUUCGGCUCGUAAAACUCUGUUAUUAGGGAAGAACAAAUGUGUAAGUAACUGUGCACAUCUUGACGGUACCUAAUCAGAAAGCCACGGCUAACUACGUGCCAGCAGCCGCGGUAAUACGUAGGUGGCAAGCGUUAUCCGGAAUUAUUGGGCGUAAAGCGCGCGUAGGCGGUUUCUUAAGUCUGAUGUGAAAGCCCACGGCUCAACCGUGGAGGGUCAUUGGAAACUGGGAAACUUGAGUGCAGAAGAGGAAAGUGGAAUUCCAUGUGUAGCGGUGAAAUGCGCAGAGAUAUGGAGGAACACCAGUGGGCGAARGCGACUUUCUGGUCUGUAACUGACGCUGAUGUGCGAAAGCGUGGGGAUCAAACAGGAUUAGAUACCCUGGUAGUCCACGCCGUAAACGAUGAGUGCUAAGUGUUAGGGGGUUUCCGCCCCUUAGUGCUGCAGCUAACGCAUUAAGCACUCCGCCUGGGGAGUACGACCGCAAGGUUGAAACUCAAAGGAAUUGACGGGGACCCGCACAAGCGGUGGAGCAUGUGGUUUAAUUCGAAGCAACGCGAAGAACCUUACCAAAUCUUGACAUCCUUUGAAAACUCUAGAGAUAGAGCCUUCCCCUUCGGGGGACAAAGUGACAGGUGGUGCAUGGUUGUCGUCAGCUCGUGUCGUGAGAUGUUGGGUUAAGUCCCGCAACGAGCGCAACCCUUAAGCUUAGUUGCCAUCAUUAAGUUGGGCACUCUAGGUUGACUGCCGGUGACAAACCGGAGGAAGGUGGGGAUGACGUCAAAUCAUCAUGCCCCUUAUGGUUUGGGCUACACACGUGCUACAAUGGACAAUACAAAGGGCAGCUAAACCGCGAGGUCAUGCAAAUCCCAUAAAGUUGUUCUCAGUUCGGAUUGUAGUCUGCAACUCGACUACAUGAAGCUGGAAUCGCUAGUAAUCGUAGAUCAGCAUGCUACGGUGAAUACGUU
rnacentral:rRNA from 1 species